rnacentral:rRNA from 1 species
CUGCUGCCUCCCGUAGGAGUUUGGGCCGUGUCUCAGUCCCAAUGUGGCCGUUCACCCUCUCAGGCCGGCUACCGAUCGUCGCCUUGGUGGGCUGUUACCCCGCCAACAAGCUAAUCAGACGCGGAUCCAUCGUAUACCACCGGAGUUUUUCACACCGUCUCAUGCGAGACUGUGCGCUUAUGCGGUAUUAGCACCUAUUUCUAAGUGUUAUCCCCCAGUAUACGGCAGGUUAUCCACGCGUUACUCACCCGUCCGCCA